AGGGUUCGAUUCUGGCUCAGGAUGAACGCUGGCGGCGUGCUUAACACAUGCAAGCCGAACGAAGCAACUAUCUUGCUUGCAAGAAGUUGACUUAGUGGCGGACGGGUGAGUAACGCGUGGGUAACCUGCCUCAUACAGGGGGAUAACAGUUGGAAACGACUGCUAAGACCGCAUAACCCGCUAGUGUCGCAUGACACGGACGGAAAAUAUUUAUAGGUAUGAGAUGGGCCCGCGUCUGAUUAGCUAGUUGGUAAGGUAACGGCUUACCAAGGCGACGAUCAGUAGCCGACUUGAGAGAGUGAUCGGCCACAUUGGGACUGAGACACGGCCCAAACUCCUACGGGAGGCAGCAGUGGGGAAUAUUGGACAAUGGGGGAAACCCUGAUCCAGCGACGCCCGCGUGAGUGAAGAAGUAUUUCGGUAUGUAAAGCUCUAUCAGCAGGGAAGAUAAUGACAGUACCUGACUAAGAAGCCCCGGCUAACUACGUGCCAGCAGCAGC
rnacentral:rRNA from 1 species